CUUCACUCUUCCUGCAACUGACCGCCAAAAUCCCUAGAAUUUUGGUUCUCAAUUCUUUACAUGAUCGUAGUAAGCUCAAUUCAGCUUACAGAAUGGCCAGAAACAACAACAGCAACAAGGAAGAGCCAAACACAGCUCCGGACCCAGAUCGCUGGUACGACAUAACCUUAGGCCCCUCCUUUAAAGAACACAACAAUCAUCCCUCUCCCAAGUUCUGCACUUUGCGUUAUGAAUUUAAACCAGCUUCAAUUGAUAAAAGUCAACCAGGAUCACUCCACAAGGGAAAAAAUAACAAGGUUACUGUAGAGUAUCACAACAACCAGUAUGGAAAACCCAAAGUCACCUUUGAGGGUGUAAGUGAGGAUUACAAGGAAAAUGA
rnacentral:misc_RNA from 1 species